rnacentral:rRNA from 1 species
UACGUAGGUGGCAAGCGUUGUCCGGAUUUAUUGGGUUUAAAGGGUGCGUAGGCGGCCCUGUAAGUCAGUGCUGAAAUAUCCCAGCUUAACUGGGAGGGUGGCAUUGAUACUGCGGGGCUAGAGUACAGAUGAGGUAGGCGGAAUUGACGGUGUAGCGGUGAAAUGCUUAGAUAUCGUCAAGAACACCUAUUGCGAAGGCAGCUUACUAAGCUGUAACUGACGCUGAGGCACGAAAGCGUGGGGAUCAAACAGG